UACGUAGGGACCAAGCGUUGUUCGGAUUUACUGGGCGUAAAGGGCGCGUAGGCGGCAUAUUAAGUCAGCUGUGAAAUCUCCGAGCUUAACUCGGAACUGUCAGCUGAUACUGAUGUGCUAGAGUGCAGAAGGGGCAAUCGGAAUUCUUGGUGUAGCGGUGAAAUGCGUAGAUAUCAAGAGGAACACCUGAGGUGAAGACGGGUUGCUGGGCUGACACUGACGCUGACAGCGCGAAAGCCAGGGGAGCAAACGGG
rnacentral:rRNA from 1 species